AUGGGUUCAGAGAAGUUCCCUGCCCCUGUGGCCGACCUGUGCGACGCGAACGCCUCACUCAUCCUCACCGGCGAGCUGCGCAUCCUGGAGCCCGUCUUCCAGCCGUACGGUCAGUGCAGGUCCUUCUCGGGCCGGGUGGUCACCAUGCGCGUCCUCGAGCACAACGCGGGCCUGCGCGCGCUCCUGGAGACCCCCGGCGAGGGCCGCGUCCUGGUGCUCGACGGCGGUGGCAGCAAGCGGUGCGCGCUCAUCGGCGGCACGCUGGCGGAGGUGGCGCGCGGCAGCGGCUGGGCGGGCGCUGUCGUGAACGGCUGCGUCCGCGACGUGGAUGACGUGAACGGCUGCGCCAUCGGCGUCCGCGCGCUCGCCAGCAACCCCCACAAGCCCGGGAAGAGCGGCGCCACGGAGAUGCACGUGGACGUCGACGUCGGCGGUGCCGUGGUCCGUGACGGGGAGUGGCUCUACGCGGACAGCGACGGCAUCAUUGUCUGCGACAGGGAGAUCUACGGUUGA
rnacentral:rRNA from 1 species